CUGCAGUCCAAUAUUUCUUAGUACCCAUGGAAGACCGAUCCGCGUAGGGUGCACGGAAAACUGUAAAGGCUCGGGACAUACGGCGACAAUCACGCAAACCGGCGGAGAGUGCACUAAUAUUACACGUGAAGUUGCCGGCAGAAUGCAAAGAUUUUUGGCUUACUAUUGCCCUGUGGGCUGGUGUAACGGCGAUAAUUGCGUUCUAAGUGGCCUUUCUGUGGAAUGCUGGAAUACCGAAAACAAACCUAAAAAACAACGUUAGGAAACGCGCGGUUACAUGUGUGAUGAAAAGAAAUCAUUAUAUUAAGUCCUUA